CUUUGAAUCUGGUUUUGUGACAUUGCUCAUAAAUGCAGGAGGUGUUUAGUGUUUGAUGAACAGGGUGUUUUCAUUUCACAUCAAAACCACAGAGAUGAGCUGAAGGUUCAGAGUCAGUUUAAUUCGGCUGUGAAGAACUAACGGUCUUUAUUCAGGAAACCCACAUGAGACUCACAGAGAGAUGAACGAGAGUUGAGUGCAUGUCUGCAAAAGAGAGACUAAAAUGUGCUACUUUCCCUUCAUAAUUUAGUUUAAUCUGAUCAAUUAAUUGUAUUUCUAAUGCAUGAAGUUUAUCUAUCACUCUGUCUGUGUGUUUUAUUCUCAGAUUUCUCCAUGAUCAUCAUUAUUAGUGUGUGUGUGAUUCUGCUGCUGAUCGCUGGAUUCACUCUGACUGUGUGCACAUUAAGACACAAGAGACAAGGAAGAAUCUCAACAUCAGACAAGAGAAAGAAGAAGAAAAAUAUAAUGUCAUCAUGUGCAGACAGCAGACAUGAUUCUCUCUCAGAUCAUGGAUCAGCUCAAAUGAACACUCAUGAUGAAUUACCCACAAUCCCCUCUGAUGGGCUCCUGUACACUGCUGUCAGUUUCGAGAAGCAUCCAGAAGAGUCUCUCAGUGAAGCUACAGUCAGAUUCAGAAAGAAUGAGAUUCACUCUGAUUA